rnacentral:tRNA from 1 species
GGGAGCGUAUAGGUGUCUGGCGUCUCUCCUGGACUUCAAAUCCAGUGUUUCCCGACAUAAUCGGGAAGGGUGGGUUCGAUUCCCACACGCUCCCGCCA